rnacentral:sRNA from 1 species
AAGUGUAAAAAAGAGACUGUAAAAGAUAGCAAUAAUUUUUAUAAUACAUGUUGAAAUAACAUUAUUUUGAGAAUAUUGAGUUAAAUAAAAUAUAUAAUUAAAGUUAAUUUUACUAGUUUCUUUCUACUUUUUAAAUGUGACUACUAGAAAAUUUAAAAAUCUAUAAGUGGUUCACAUUUGUGACUCAGAUUCCAUUCAUACUGGACAGUGCUGGGCUAGGCAGCCACCACAGGAAAGCAGAAAGGGCAUCUCUCAAGGGUUUCAUACCUUCCUGGUCCAAUAAGAUUAUGAGAGACAAAUGCAGCUUCUACUUCUCCCAGGCAUUUCAAAUUAGUGCCUUGCUGUGUGAUACUGAGUUCUUUGCUCAACCCCUCUGGACUCUCACCAUUUCAUCUCAUUCUUUAUUCCCCAGACCACCUCCAGGCUGAUAGGAAAAAAGAUGAAAACAGAUUCUUCAAAAGCAUGAAUAAAAAUGACAUGAAGAGCUGGGACUUGUUGCAGAAAAAUAAUCAUAAAAUGAACAAAACCUCAGAGCCCAGGUCAUCUUCUCCAGGCGGCAGAACAACUACAUCGGGGCCACCAAAUCACCACUCCUCAGCCCCAUCCCACUCCCUGUUUCGGGCCUCCUCUGCUGGGAAAGUCACUUUUCCAGUAUGUCUCCUGGCCUCUUAUGCUGAGAUUUCUGGUCAAGGAGCCAGCUCUCAGGACACGAAGACAUUUGGCGCUGCGCUGUCCAAGGAGCUCCAUGCGGCACUGAGUGAGUGGCUGACAGCGAUCCGGGCUUGGUUUUAUGAGGUUCCUUCAAGCCAAGCCAGCUCAGAGAACACGGGGAGCGGUGGUGCUACACGGACUUCGGAGCAUAGAGUGGCGCUGAUGGAAAAAGGAAGUCCCUGCAGCAGUCCCCGCACUCUUUAAGCAGCUGUUUACCGAGGGCACCCGUUCAGCCAGGAGUGAAGUACAGAGAUGAGCAACGCCAGCCUGGGUCACAGUCCGUCAAACCCCAUGAGCCCGACCACUCUCGCUCUUCCUUACAUUCCCACGUCCCCCUUCUCUCCCAGCCCCUCAUAUCAGCAAGGGAAAUUAAUUAAUGAGAUUUGAUAAAUCAGUAGAUAGAAUGAGGUCCCCAUUCUGAAAUAUUUAGCAGACUGGAACCACCACGCAAGCCUCUGUAGGGGGUGGAUGGAGACACUUCUAACUUUAAUAAACUGUGACUGAACGUGGAA